rnacentral:misc_RNA from 1 species
AAACUCAGCGGGUAGUCCCGCCUGACCUGGGGUCGCGGUCGAGGCGCACACCGUUGGCGGCGCCAGAGGGUCACAGGAGCUCGCACCGACGACGGGGCGACGACGCGGCACUGAGAGACGGCCUUUUUACAACCACCACAUGCCGCGACAUCCUGUCGCACGGGGACUCGCUUUUGGGCCAGCCGCGCAGCAAUGCACGGGAGGCCAAUAUCCGCCCCUCGCACCGCGCAGCCCUCGGGGGAGUGCGUGGUUUGGGGGGCGACGCGAUGCGUGACGCCCAGGCAGACGUGCCCUCCGCCUAAUGGCUUCGGGCGCAACUUGCGUUCAAAGACUCGAUGGUUCACGGGAUUCUGCAAUUCACACCAAGUAUCGCAUUUCGCUACGUUCUUCAUCGAUGCGAGAGCCGAGAUAUCCGUUGCCGAGAGUCGUUUGUGUUUCUGAAAGACGCCGACGCCGCCCGCGUACGGGGGCGACAGCGUGCAGUUCGUUUCAAUUUCCUUGGCGCAUUCCGCGCCGGGGUGAGUUUGUGGCCGGCGAGCGCCCGAGGACGCCCUCCGCCAGCGGGGUCACGGACACGGGGAGCUCGCGCACCCCGGGCCGAUCGCCCGAUUUUUUAACGUGUUCGCGGGUCGUUCUGCUUUGCAGGCAUCGACAAUGAUCCUUCCGCAGGUUCACCUACGGAAACC